GACGAACGCUGGCGGCGUGCUUAACACAUGCAAGUCGAACGGAAAGGCCCUGCUUUUGUGGGGUGCUCGAGUGGCGAACGGGUGAGUAACACGUGAGUAACCUGCCCUUGACUUUGGGAUAACUUCAGGAAACUGGGGCUAAUACCGGAUAGGAGCUCCUGCUGCGUGGUGGGGGUUGGAAAGUUUCGGCGGUUGGGGAUGGACUCGCGGCUUAUCAGCUUGUUGGUGGGGUAGUGGCUUACCAAGGCUUUGACGGGUAGCCGGCCUGAGAGGGUGACCGGCCACAUUGGGACUGAGAUACGGCCCAGACUCCUACGGGAGGCAGCAGUGGGGAAUAUUGCACAAUGGGCGGAAGCCUGAUGCAGCAACGCCGCGUGCGGGAUGACGGCCUUCGGGUUGUAAACCGCUUUCGCCUGUGACGAAGCGUGAGUGACGGUAAUGGGUAAAGAAGCACCGGCUAACUACGUGCCAGCAGCCGCGGUGAUACGUAGGGUGCGAGCGUUGUCCGGAUUUAUUGGGCGUAAAGGGCUCGUAGGUGGUUGAUCGCGUCGGAAGUGUAAUCUUGGGGCUUAACCCUGAGCGUGCUUUCGAUACGGGUUGACUUGAGGAAGGUAGGGGAGAAUGGAAUUCCUGGUGGAGCGGUGGAAUGCGCAGAUAUCAGGAGGAACACCAGUGGCGAAGGCGGUUCUCUGGGCCUUUCCUGACGCUGAGGAGCGAAAGCGUGGGGAGCGAACAGGCUUAGAUACCCUGGUAGUCCACGCUGUAAACGGUGGGUACUAGGUGUGGGGUCCAUUCCACGGGUUCCGUGCCGUAGCUAACGCUUUAAGUACCCCGCCUGGGGAGUACGGCCGCAAGGCUAAAACUCAAAGGAAUUGACGGGGCCCCGCACAAGCGGCGGAGCAUGCGGAUUAAUUCGAUGCAACGCGUAGAACCUUACCUGGGUUUGACAUGGAUCGGGAGUGCUCAGAGAUGGGUGUGCCUCUUUUGGGGUCGGUUCACAGGUGGUGCAUGGCUGUCGUCAGCUCGUGUCGUGAGAUGUUGGGUUAAGUCCCGCAACGAGCGCAACCCUUGUUCACUGUUGCCAGCACGUUAUGGUGGGGACUCAGUGGAGACCGCCGGGGUCAACUCGGAGGAAGGUGGGGAUGACGUCAAGUCAUCAUGCCCCUUAUGUCCAGGGCUUCACGCAUGCUACAAUGGCUGGUACAGAGAGUGGCGAGCCUGUGAGGGUGAGCGAAUCUCGGAAAGCGGGUCUCAGUUCGGAUUGGGGUCUGCAACUCGACCUCAUGAAGUCGGAGUCGCUAGUAAUCGCAGAUCAGCAACGCUGCGGUGAAUACGUUCCCAGGGC
rnacentral:rRNA from 1 species